rnacentral:lncRNA from 1 species
UAAUUUUGAAGUAAUACCAUCCAUACUGAAAGGGGUUGUAGUGGGACAGUCUCAGAUUCAGCUUCAUUGAUGCCAUAUCCUGUUAUUUAAUAGUGCAAAGUACAAUUUAACAGUUCUAAUAAUGGAUCAUUGUUGGUAACCUGCAGGUGUUUUUGACAGAAAACUCGAAACUAGAAUACUAAUAAUGGAAGUAGCUGGAGGCAGAAGAAAAUAUGGGAUGUGCAAACAUAAAAAGAAAUAGAAAACCUCAAAUAACAAAGGCGGGAAGAAUGAAAUCAUCCACAAGACAAAACAAUUUUAAGAGAGCUGAUUCUUUUUUGUGAGAGCGCUGUUACUCCCCUUCCCACACUUGAAGUUCUCCCUUACACAAGUAGGUAAUUUUUGCAGAUGCCUGGCAAAAUCAAAUUGUAGUGACAAUUUGAUCUUAUACAUCCAUCACUGGGACUGCAGUCUGUUGUUAAAGGAGAGUGGACUUGCUCAAAUAGAUUUUUUCUGUCUCCCUCUGCUAUGAUUAUCCACUUUAUACAUCUCAAUACCAAUAGAAAAGGUCAUCCUAGUUCAGAAAAUGUUGGCUAAUAACCAUGUAAAGACAGAAAGACUGCAGAAAAUGCUGUCCCCCAGGUUUGAGACAACAACUUGAACCAAUGCCUAGUCUGUAUAGAGGAACAGAUUUGUCUGAAAGAACCCAAAAAACGAGAGUACAUAUCAGAAUGCAGAUUUGUUGAGGAAUUUUUAAUUAUUUUUGAAGGAAUUGGAGGUUCCAUCUUGUCUCCAAACUAUAGCUGAGAACAGAGUUCACAGUGAGUAAAUUCAGGUAAAAGCAGCAUUCAGUGUUUUGCGGUAGAGUUCCAAAUUCUACUUAAUAGUAUGUAAAGAAUUAUUUGCAAGAACUCCUCUUUUACAGCAUGUGAUGUAAAACUGUACCUAACACAGCACAUAAGUUGUAGGACUGUUAUUUACUUGUUGUGUAGUUUUGGUUAUUAAUUUAGUGAAGUACGGUUCUCCAUGAAACUUUCCAGUGAGAUGUAAAAGUACACUUCACUAAAGAUGAUUUAGCAUCUUCUCGCGCUAGUUCUUAGCAGCCCAGGAUCAUCUGCCCUCUCAUCUCAUUCCCACCUUGUUUUCAAAACUCUGUUCUGGGCAAGAGAAGUUAAAUCUGCUUUCUUGCCUACGUUUGCCAGGCAUUCUGUAUGUCUUGGUAACUUUCCAAAUUGUCCAGUGGCACCAAGAAAUGAAGAGACAACUAAUUCUUGAUUAGUGAUAACAGCAGCACAUCAGCAGCUAAUUAAACAAAACUGGCCACCUGUCUGCCCCUCCUGUUGA